UCGCUUCCCAGCUCUGUCGCUCACUGGGAUCGAAAACAACUGUUCUCUUACUUCAGGAGGAUGAAAGAAUGAAUGAAUGAAAGAGAGAGAAAGAGGCCGUAUACGAAACCUGUCUUGCCUACUACAUACAGAAACUGCAUACUGUGUACUACCCAUACUACAUACUGUUUAGAAUGUACUGUUUAGUAAAAAUCUAUUCAAUAGGCAACAGAUAUCACCAUACUAGACUCACCCAUACUGAGAACACGUCAUCUGAUGUGAAACUGCACCGUUUCCCCCCAUUCUAUCAUUAUGGUGCAGCAGGUCUCACUAUCAGCUGCUGUCAAACACGUCUGGAUCUGAAAAGAGGAUCAUUAUGGUGCAGCAGGUCUCACUAUCAGCUGCUGUCAAACACGUCUGGAUCUGAAAAGAGGAUCAUUAUGGUGCAGCAGGUCUCACUAUCAGCUGCUGUCAAACACGUCUGGAUCUGAAAAGAGGAUCAUUAUGGUGCAGCAGGUCUCACUAUCAGCUGCUGUCAAACACGUCUGGAUCUGAAAAGAGGAUCAUUAUGGUGCAGCAGGUCUCACUAUCAGCUGCUGUCAAACACGUCUGGAUCUGAAAAGAGGAUCAUUAUGGUGCAGCAGGUCUCACUAUCAGCUGCUGUCAAACACGUCUGGAUCUGAAAAGAGGAUCAUUAUGGUGCAGCAGGUCUCACCAUCAGCUGCUGUCAAACACGUCUGGAUCUGAAAAGAGGAUCAUUAUGGUGCAGCAGGUCUCACUAUCAGCUGCUGUCAAACACGUCUGGAUCUGAAAAGAGGAUCAUUAUGGUGCAGCAGGUCUCACUAUCAGCUGCUGUCAAACACGUCUGGAUCUGAAAAGAGGAUCAUUAUGGUGCAGCAGGUCUCACUAUCAGCUGCUGUCAAACACGUCUGGAUCUGAAAAGAGGAUCAUUAUGGUGCAGCAGGUCUCACUAUCAGCUGCUGUCAAACACGUCUGGAUCUGAAAAGAGGAUCAUUAUGGUGCAGCAGGUCUCACUAUCAGCUGCUGUCAAACACGCCUGGAUCUGAAAAGAGGAUUCUCUUCCUCAAUAGCACGCAGCAAAUUUGUAGUAGAUGAAAAGCCGAAACGAGUAUGACACGGCAUACCAUUUUUUUUAACAUACUAUAAAACAUUCUAUUUUCACAUACCAAAAAUACCAAAAAUUCCUACUGUUUAGAACGCAAUUAUGGGUAUUUGGACACGGCCAGUGUUGUGUUUGAGACCACCUAAACUGAGACCGAUUCAAGACCAAGACCGGAGCAAAUCGAGUCCGAGGCUGGAGGGGGGCGAGACCGAGUCAAGACCGAGUCAAGACCAGACAAAUGCAAGUCCAAUUCAAGACCAUGACUGUAAUAGUGUCAUAUCGCCACGAUAAGAGUUCAAAAUGUUCUGUGUUCAUAUUUCAGAAGAGCAGUUUGUUCUUCCUUACACAGAGACAAGACCGAGACACUCAAUAUUUAGUCUCAAGACCGGUCUCAAGGACUACAACACUGGACACGGCCAGAGAGAAGAAAGAAAUGAAGAAACAAAGAAAAAGAAAGAAAGAAAGAAAACAAUUAAGAAAACUCUCUUUGGACUGGGUCCAGCCCUACUGCAAUGAUCCCAGCAGCCCAACAGCCCAGGCACUGUGGCUAUAAUCUAAUUACAUGCUUUAUUUGCCACAAUUUGUCUCUCAAUCAGUCUUGUUCACGGAGAAGAAAGAAGUAGGGAGGAGAAAGGCCUCCCCCAUGCCCCUAUUUACACCUCUUUGUUCCAGCUAAGCAGGUCCCUGUCACUGGGUCCUGUCUAGGUCUUUGCGCUACUUUUAUCCAUGUAGAUAAAAGUCUGAAAAAUGUGCCUAGGAUUUAAAGACUGUAUGAGGGUGUCAAUCAAUCUCUCCCACUGCUAAAGAAACACAGACACAUCCAGGCGGCAAAGGAGCGUCUCUCAGCGUUUCUCCUUCCUCGCUCAAACAACCGAGAAACAAAGGGAACGACACCUCCCAGUAAGAGAGCGUAGAGAGGGGAUGGAGAGAGGAGGCGCGGAGGGGAGGUACACAGAGCUCAGUGCCCCUGGACUCAUUCCACUUCCCCUGACUAGAGUGUCCCACACAAAGGGUACAUUUGUCCUCGCGGUGGGGGACUGCCUGGUCCUGUAUGGGGAUCUGGGGGUGCUCGUCUCAGGAGUACACUAAUGGCCAACGGGCGUUAUCAAAGGAAAGUAUCAUGAUGCCAUCAAGGGGGUUUAUGGGAAAGCAAA